UUCUUUGUCUUUCCUUUGCUCAUACCACAGAUGACCCACUCACUAGACUGGCUUUCUGAGUGUUUGUCCUUGGGUGGCAAAAAAGAUCUUGGUUUUCCUCCACAUUAAUAGUCCCACCGUUAUCUGUCCUGAGACCACACAAAUCUCAUCUUCCUUUGUGUGCAAGUGACUCUCAUUCAGCAGCAGUGGGAGGAUGGCACAAAGCUGUUGACACCUAUUCCUAUCGCUGUGUGCUCCUGCCAAGCUUCCCCACUGGUCCAGGCUUUGCUGGUAGCAACCUCCCACCUACAUAGGACUCUCAGCUCUGACCACAGGCUCUGAGAACCUAAAGUCAAAGGGCCGGAUUUUCCUGUUUCAAAGGCCAACCCCAGCAGGCUCUCCUGCCCUCCCUGAUGUCUUGGCAUGUACUGCACACUGUCUCUCCAGUAUGCAGAAGCGAGCUGUCACAGAGUAAGCACUGCUCAGCCUAGGGAUGCCCUGACAGCCCAGCGGACAGGUUGGGGGAAGUGCCUUAUCACCUUGCUCAGUCAUCUGCCGCUGCUCACAAAUCCUCAGCACCUUCAAGGCUUUCUGCUCUGUGUUGAGAGGAAUCCGCUCAAUGUGCAGCUCCAAGGAAACUCGGCCUAGCUCCGGGCAGUAAUCAAAGUAGUCCACCCCCAGCUGCCACAGGCUAUGGUGGAAGGAAUGCAGAUGGUGAGAGGCUACCUGGUUGCCCUAUGGCUCUGGGCAUUGCCACCUGACGCUCAUCCUCCUCAGCCCUCUGAACCAGCACGGAGCAGUGGGGCUUCCUCCUACCUGUGGUGAGCAAACAGUCCUGAGGCGUACUCCAGCAGGAGGAAUUCUCUCAUGUUAGAACCAAAACUGGGGAAAAAACAACAACACAGGACUGCAAGCCUGCCCACUCACUUUGUGGCUCCUGCAGCCUACCUGCUCCUAGUCUACUGGCCGCCCCCCUCAAAAGCCUGGUGAUGUAAGAAAGGGUCAGUGCAUCUGGCCAACUUACUAGAGAUUGUGUGACUGGAGGAGUCUGCAGUGAUCCAAAAGGUCUGUGAGGUGAGCUACGAACCACCAGUUGCUCAGGGCGAUGCUGAAAAUCCAGACACCAAGGCAAAAAGGGAAAGAAGUCAAAGUCACAUGACUGAGGAGUCGGAAACCCACACAUCCUGUGCUGCCAAAAGACUGGAAGGAGGGCUGGAGAGAUAGCUCAGUGGUUAAGAGCACUGGCUGCUCUUCCAGAGGUCCUGAGUUCAAUUCCCAGCAACCACAUGGUGGCUCACAACCCUCUGUAAUGGGAUCUGAUACCCUCUUCUGGCCUGGAGGCAUACAUGCAGGCAGAAUGCUUUAUACAAAAAUAAAUCU
rnacentral:lncRNA from 1 species